rnacentral:rRNA from 1 species
UACGGGGGUGAGGCGAGCGUUGUCCGGAAUCACUGGGCGUAAAGGGCGCGUAGGCGGCUUUCUAAGUCGGGGGUGAAAUCCUGGAGCUCAACUCCAGAACUGCCUUCGAUACUGGAAAGCUCGAGUCCGGGAGAGGUGAGUGGAACUGCGAGUGUAGAGGUGAAAUUUGUAGAUAUUCGCAAGAACACCAGUGGCGAAGGCGGCUCACUGGCCCGGUACUGACGCUGAGGUGCGAAAGCGUGGGGAGCAGACAGG